AGACAGGAAACACAGACAGGAUUCCAUGCAACCUUCAGGUGAAAAUGAAGACCCCAAACCCAGACCCAAACCAGUGUUCCAGUGGGUAUUAACAGAGAAAUGUUAAUGUGUUUUUCCCCCUCGAUCUAAAUCGGAUCAUGGGACCGGAUAUUGUUUUUACUCGAGAACUAAUUAGGUUGGUAUCUUAUAUUGACUUUCAUUGUAGUAAAAUUGCAUAAUUUUAUCUCAUGUAAUGCAAAACAUAUAGUUUUUUCUUUGUACUGCAGUGUGAGAUUCGGUGGUCUUUGUUUUGCUUUAGGGGACACUCAAACCGCAGCUGUUCAGUCCAGUUCCUGCUGGAGAGCAGAAGAACCGCCUCCUCACUACAACCCAGGAUAUCUGUGCAGGAGGAGCCAGGUCCCAUCAGUCAAACAGGAGAAGAAGGAGUAUUCCUGUAAAAUGAGAUGACAGCAUGCUGCUUGGAUUGAAUAUGCAAAACGGUUCGAUAGAUCUGGUAAGACCCACACUUCUCAAGGUUUACUUUUUCAGGCGAGCCCUGAUCCACACCCAUGUCUAAGCAGAGCCUGAAGGAAGUGUUUUUUAUGUACCUUUAUUUACUGGUCACUAACAGUGUCCUCAGUUAGCCUUCAUAAGCUAAGGUAAGUUAAGGUAAGGUAAGGUAAAAUGUGUUUAUUUAGCACUUUUCAGCAGUAAGGCAAAGUGCUUUAUAUGAUACAAAAAAUGACACAAAAAAAAGGACAGGCAGUACGUCAUAACACAAAUAGGCAGUAUAAAUCUAAUUAGGUGAAAAGGCAGUAUAAUUUAAGACAUCAUAGCAUACUUUCUGUUUAUUAACCACUGUUCAUAGUUCCAUAGUACUAAGCACUGGAUGACCUUUUAAAUGUAACUAAGUAAUCUGGAUAAUAUACUAAGUAAUAAGAUAACAAACUGCUAAAAGUGAUGGCUGUGUAAUACUAACAUUUGUUUUAUAAGUCCCAGAAGUCAAUCACAUUUCAGCACAAUCUGUUGCAACAAACAAACAAACAGAACACAAGAGAGGAAGACCUGUGCAACAGAAUGGGGGACACACACAAAAACACAUUUGCCAGGAGAGCAGGGGAUGUGUGGUCUUUGUGAUGUGUGUGUAUGUGUGUGUGCACAAUUUUACAAGAUAAAAUUAUAUUAUUUCUGUUUUGUUAUAUGCCUGUAAAUUAUAUUUAAAAAUAAACGUUUUGUACCAUUAAAAAAAUGCUCCUAUCUUUUGUUGAUUCUUACCUUUUUGGGUGAUUUCAUUGCUUUGCCAGUAGAUGUCACUGUUGUCUCAUCUUCUUUCACCACACAGGGAUGUGAAGCAGCAAUUUAGUUGUUGGCUUGAUUUUGUGAAUUAAACAGGUAUUUUUUUUACAAAAAAACAAAAGUGUUUUAUUCUCCCAGACAGUGACUGAGUCAACAGUACAAAGAUGGAUCUAAAUAAAUCACAUCCUGGUUACCCCCUCACCUGGACCCUACAUGSACCCUCAAACACGUGAGAAAAAAAUUAAUAGAGUACAAGUGCAUUUAGUUGUAUUUUGUUUUCUUUCAAACACAUAUUUGAUUUGUAAUAUAWACAUUUUGAUUAUUAGGCUGUGAUUAUUAGGAAGGUAAGAAAUCAAAGUUUUUGUUUAAGCAGCUGCUGAUUUGACUAUCUGUGACAGAAGUGAUGGCAAUAGAUAGAGGUGAGUAAUGGUUGGAGUACAAAUUCAGUUACAUGAAAAAAAUUAUAUAUGUAUUUAUUUAUUUAUACAGUAUGUCUUGUUUCAGCUGCAGGUGCCCUCCAUCACCCAGCUCCAGCACAGAAGUUCACAGUCUAACUUUUACAGCUCACACAAUUAAGAAAAGAAACAAAUGUGUCCUGUGUGAUACUGUACUGAUAAGGUUUGGAAAUGUGCAGAAAUAUACCUAAUAAUCAAUGAAUGGAUGUCUUUAUGCACUUAAAUCUGCACUAAACACAAAUUAAUUAUUUUUGCAGGUAAAUAAAAGCAUCUCCUUCUCAAGUCUGUAUGGUUUUGUUGUGGCUAUUUCAAGAUGUUUCAGCGAACAUUUUGAUUCUAUAUGUUGUUGUCAACCAGUUUCUUAGGUUUCGGAGGUGUUUGUGCAACUCAUUCUAACUUUUAAACAUUUUUAUGGAGUCUGGGCAAAGUACUCAGCUUUUUAUUUUAGACUUUUCAUUUCCCUUUCUUCUGUUUGUUGAUGGYAAAUAAAAAUGAUGUGGUGGAGA